CAGAACAGGAGAUGGCUGCAUCUCUUGGGGAAAGUGCAAUUCAUUUUAAAGCCAGAGCUCUCUCCUUUCUCUACAGCAUCCCAGCUCCUACCUCACCCUUAAGUCCAGCUGGGGAGUCCAUACAAUUGCCGGAGGGCGGGUAGGGAAAGAGUUAGGAUAAGCUCUAGACAGAGGACAAGGAUGCCAGGCUACCCGCUCUCCAAGCUCCGAAAGAGCCAGUGGGGUUGAGCAGAGAAAGGAGGAGCGGACUAAUCAAUAAAGGAGGAAGUCAUCAAGAAACGAUGGGGAAUGUUGGGAUGAGCAGACGCGAAUAAAAAGGAUUGAGGAAGUUAGUGGGUUCGCUGAGAGAAGGCGCCCUGGACCGCCGGCUGGGCUACUCACACUCGGGGCAGCUGCAGUGGGGGCGCCCCCCGCCUCUGGAACACGCCGUCCACGAAGACGCCGUUCUUGCCGAGGCAGCGCAGGAAUGCAGCACAGCAAUGGGGCUAUCGACGGCUAGCCUAUGACAAGGAACAGCGGCCAUCAAGUUCGGUUGUAGGGCCCCAGAACAAACUAGACUUUGGGAGAUGAAGAAAACCUGGAGCGGCUGAGCACGAAACUCCGGAAUAUGGGCUCUAAACCCCAGCGGAAUGGCCCUCUCCAAGCUCUGAGAGGGAGGGCGCUACGAGGUCAAGAAAGACAAGCUCCAUGGCCCUGGGUGGAGCCACUGUAGACGCUAAACAUGAAGCCAGACCCUCAAGGUCACAGAGGGGACGGAAGAUAUGGCAACUGGUUCCCCCCCCACCCCCCUGAACCCUCCACCCAGGAAGAAGAACAUGAAUGUGGCCUCCGGGUGACUAAAUGGUGUCAGAGCAUCCCAGGUCCCAGACAGUGAAAGAGGCUCCGGAGCUGCCAAGGAUGUGCACAUAGCCAGCCUCCGAGAUCUCGGGGCCAAUCAGGAGGAAGUGGCACUUGUCUCACUAGCCACCAAAUCAUUGGGGUGUGAAGUAUCAGCCCUUUUGGAGCCCGAUGUGCUUCAGACCUGACCUGACUCCUUGGAAUUCAACUGGAGUCUUCAUCAGUAUCAUUCUUAAAAUUCCUUUGCCUUCCAUAUUCUCUAAGGAUUUCAGGAAAAGUAUUAUUCUCUUUUUUGUACAAUAAUUGUUUAAUAAUCUAAGGCCCUAGCCUGUUGUGGCUUACACAAAGACACAAAACUUAAAUAGAAAGGAGCAAUUCCUGAAACUUAAUUAUUUACUUAAUCAACCUGGACUAAAUGCCCCCUCCCCCUCCCCAAUAGUACUGGCUUCUUGCUUCUUACAAAAAUUAUCUCCAAAUUAAUUUGUGUUAAAAGAGAGAAAAGUGUGUUUAUUUCAUCUCAAAUAAUUGUUUGCCAAUUUUUUAAGUUAAUAAAAUUCCUUAAUUUAAAAAUAAA